ensembl:lncRNA
CUGGAAGUGACUACCAUAGUAUCUGCUGUUGUGUUUAUUUAUUUUUUAACCAAUUCACAUCCUGGUGGUAUUUGUUAGGUAUACAAAGACUGAAAAACUACUGCGAUGGCCUCAUGCCUUGUUUUUCUCCUUUAGAAGAUGUUUUUUCUCCUUUAGAUGAUUUUUUUCUCCUUUAGAAGAGUGUACUUCCUUUCUCAUUGGUGAAACAUCUAUUAAUAGUAAUUCUCAUCUUCCCUGAGAACCCUCAUCUGUAUAAUGUGCUAGUUUUUACCCAGGAACACUGCAUUAUAAAGCAUUUAAAGGGAAAGAUAAAGCUAAUUGGGAGUCAUGAGACUGUCCUUCUUUUUCUGUUCAUCUCUGCAGUGUGUGCUCCCUAUCCAUCUCGCCUUCAGCACUGGAGUAAGGCCUUUGGUUUUGGACACUCUCUCUCAUUGUAUUUAAUUUAUUAGCUUCAAUUCCGAUUAUACUGUAUUACAUUGUGUUACUUCACAUUCUGCUAUCAUAUUUAGCAAAUUAGUCUUCCUCCCUUCACUUGUUGCUGCUGUAUUGCUUUUAGGCCCAUCUCGGUGCGUGGGUCCAUGAGUUCCCCUGUCCCAUUUAGUCAUGGAACCAGGCCAAACAGGUCCAGAACCAUUGUCAAUAUGUGCAUAUGUGUAUGUACCUAUGUAUGUAGGUCACUCCAAAAGAAAUGCCUCCUAUUUAUUUCCAUGGAAACUACAACAAAGGGCACAAUAACAGUACCUGAUAGAGUAAAUUCUCAACUCCAAAACUCUAUUUUUCAACAUAGUUGCCACCAUCAACUAUGCAUUUUUGCCAGCCAUGAACAAGAGCCUGCAUGCUGCACUUGUAAAAAUCUGCACCACUGGAGGUGACCCACUGUCAGUGUUGCCACUGUUGAAAUGCACCACCCACUUCAUCACUGUAUUCACAUCCACUGUUUGGUCUCCAUAAAUGUUCAGCAAACGUCGAUGAAUGCCAGUGAAUGUAAUUAUCUCCUCCACAAUAUGAAAUGAGAAAAGAGAGAAAUUAGAUGGAAACCAUCUACCUCUGAUAAUAUCUUCCUCCAUUACUGGGAGAUCAGAGAAAAUGUGAAAGAGCUUCUCAAACUGCUCAUUCUGUCUAGAAAUCCCUAGAGUGGGUGAAAGCACUUGAAAAUGUACAUUUUUGAAAAUAAUUCAGAAACUCGUAAGAAAAUUUCUGACUUCACUGGAGCACAGUCUUUCCUCAUUGCCAGACCUCUUCCCAGGAAGUUCUCAUAGAAGGAUACCGGACAUGAACGGCAGUAGACUUCAUUCAGCAAACCUAUUCUUUGUGAAAUUAGUGAAGUAAAUUAUACCUCAUAGAGGUUAGGGUCAACAUCACUCUGGCCCCUAUAGGAAUUUUUGAAGUUCACAAGAAGAAGAAAGGGAAAUGUAACUAAAUCCCCCAGAUAAUUCAUAACUUCAGAACUGUGAUACAUUCAGAGGUUGACACUGUUUGAAACAGAGAACAAGAAAAACAAUUCCUGUCUUUCUUCUUAACAAGAAACAGUGGACAAAGUACACGAAUCAAGUGUCUAAACAUCUUUUAGGAGCUAGUAGGUCC